UACGUUCCCGGACCUUGUACACACCGCCCGUCAAGCCAUGGAAGCCGGGGGUACCUGAAGAUGGUGACCUAACUAGGAGCUAUCUAAGGUAAAACUGGCGACUGGGGCU
rnacentral:rRNA from 1 species